UCUUGCGAUCGUACUCCCCAGGCGGUCUACUUCACGCGUUAGCUGCGUUACUCAUGGAUUUUACUCCACCAACAACUAGUAGACAUCGUUUAGGGCGUGGACUACCAGGGUAUCUAAUCCGCUUCGCUACCCACGCUUUCGUGCCUCAGCGUCAAUAAAGUCCCAGCAAGCUGCCUUCGCAUUUGGUAUUCCCCAUGAUAUCAACGGAUUUCACCCCUACACCAUGAGUUCUGCUUGCCUCUGACUUAUUCUAGUUAUACCGUUUCAAAUGCGGAUUCCAAGUUGAGCUUGGAGAUUUAACAUCUGACUAAUAUAACCGCCUACGCACCCUUUACGCCCAGUAAAUCCGGAUAAUGCUUGGGGCCUCUGUAUUACCGCUCCUGCUGGCACAGAGUUAGGAGCCCCUUAUUCAUGGAGUAACAUCAAUAAACUUUCUCCUCCAUAAAAGGUGUUUACGUCCCUAAGGACUUCAUCCACCACGCGGCGUCGCUCCGUCAGACUUUCGUCCAUUGCGGAAGAUUCUCGACUGCAGCCUCCCGUAGGAGUAUGGACCGUGUCGCAGUUCCAGUGUGACUGAUCGUCCUCUCAGACCAGUUACGGAUCGUCGCCUUGGUGAGCCGUUACCUCACCAACAAGCUAAUCCGACAUAGGCUUCUCUAAAGGCGCCAGGCCUUGCGGUCCCCGACUUUGCUCUCACGAGAUCAUGCGGUAUUACUCCAAGUUUCCCUGGGCUAUCCCCCACCUAAAGGUAAAUUCCUAUGUAUUCCUCACCCGUCCGCCACUAGAUGUAUUGCUACACCUCGUUCGACUUGCAUGUGUUAGGCAUACCGCCAGCGUUCAAUCUGAGCCAGGAUC
rnacentral:rRNA from 1 species